UACGGAGGGUGCAAGCGUUAUCAGGAUUCACUGGGUUUAAAGGGAGCGCAGGUGGGCUUGUAAGUCAGUGGUGAAAUCUCCGAGCUUAACUCGGAAACUGCCAUUGAUACUAUAGGUCUUGAAUAUUGUGGAGGUUAGCGGAAUAUGUCAUGUAGCGGUGAAAUGCAUAGAUAUGACAUAGAACACCAAUUGCGAAGGCAGCUGGCUACACAUAUAUUGACACUGAGGCUCGAAAGCGUGGGUAGCGAACAGGAUUAGAUACCCUGGUAGUCCACGCCCUAAACUAUGGAUACUCGACAUACGUGAUAUACAAUGUGUGUCUGAGCGAAAGCAUUAAGUAUCCCACUUGGGAAGUACGAUCGCAAGAUUGAA
rnacentral:rRNA from 1 species